UACGGAGGGCGCGAGCGUUAAUCGGAAUCACUGGGCGUAAAGCGCGCGCAGGCGGCCUGCCAAGUCCCGCGUGAAAUCCCCGGGCUCAACCUGGGAACUGCGCGGGAUACUGGCGGGCUGGAGUGCGGGAGAGGGGUGCGGAAUUUCCGGUGUAGCAGUGAAAUGCGUAGAGAUCGGAAGGAACACCAGUGGCGAAGGCGGCACCCUGGACCGGCACUGACGCUGAGGCGCGAAAGCGUGGGGAGCAAAC
rnacentral:rRNA from 1 species